rnacentral:rRNA from 1 species
GACGAACGCUGGCGGCGUGCUUAACACAUGCAAGUCGAGCGGUAAGGCCUCUUCGGGGGUACACGAGCGGCGAACGGGUGAGUAACACGUGGGUGACCUGCCCUCAGCUCUGGGAUAAGCCUGGGAAACUGGGUCUAAUACCGGAUAUGACCACAUGUUGCAUGGUGUGUGGUGGAAAGUUUUUUCGGCUGGGGAUGGGCCCGCGGCCUAUCAGCUUGUUGGUGGGGUGAUGGCCUACCAAGGCGACGACGGGUAGCCGGCCUGAGAGGGCGACCGGCCACACUGGGACUGAGACACGGCCCAGACUCCUACGGGAGGCAGCAGUGGGGAAUAUUGCGCAAUGGGCGGAAGCCUGACGCAGCGACGCCGCGUGGGGGAUGACGGCCUUCGGGUUGUAAACCUCUUUCGACCGGGACGAAGCGUAAGUGACGGUACCGGUAGAAGAAGCACCGGCCAACUACGUG